rnacentral:rRNA from 1 species
GACGAACGCUGGCGGCGUGCUUAACACAUGCAAGUCGAACGAAGUGGCGAACGGGUGAGUAAUACGUGGGUAACCUGCCCUCCUUUUUGGGCUAAGCCUUGGAAACGGGGUCUAAUACCGAAUAAAGGGGGAUGGGCUCGCGGCCUAUCAGCUUGUUGGUGGGGUGAUGGCCUACCAAGGCGGUGACGGGUUGCCGGCCUGAGAGGGUGACCUGGGACAUAGUGACGGAGAUACGGCCUAUAGUACUACGGGAGGGAGCAGUGGGGGAUAUUGCCCAAUGGGCGAAAGCCUGAUGCAGCGUCGCCGAAUGGGGGAUGAAGGCUUUCGAGUUGUAUACCUCUUUCGGUAUCGAACGGGUAGGUAGAGAAGAAGCGCCGGCUAACUACGUGCCAGCAGCCGCGGUAAUUC